rnacentral:rRNA from 1 species
GGACGAACGCUGGCGGCGUGCUUAACACAUGCAAGUCGAACGAUGAAGAAAAGAAUUGAAGCUUCGGCAGAAAUUCAUUUCGGAUUAGUGGCAGACGGGUGAGUAACGCGUGAGCAACCUACCUCUUACAAAGGGAUAGCCUCGGGAAACCGGGAUUAAUACCAUAUAACAUUGCGACGAAGCAUUUCGAUGCAAUCAAAGCUACGGCGGUAAGAGAUGGGCUCGCGUCCCAUUAACCAGAUGGUGAGGUAACGGCUCACCAUAGUAACGAUGGGUAACCGGCCUGAGAGGGUGAACGGUCACACUGGAACUGAGACACGGUCCAGACUCCUACGGGAGGCAGCAGUGGGGAAUAUUGCACAAUGGAGGGAACUCUGAUGCAGCGACGCCGCGUGAGUGAUGAAGGAAUUCGUUUCGUAAAACUCUGUUCUAUGGGAAGAAAAGGACUGUACCAUAGGAGAAAGCUCCGGCUAAAUACGUG